AUUGAACGCUGGCGGCAGGCCUAACACAUGCAAGUCGAGCGAGCGGCGGACGGGUGAGUUAUGCCUGGGAAUCGCCUAGUCGAGGGUGAUAACAGUUGGAAACGAUUGCUAAUACCGCAUACGAUCGGAUUGCCCAGUUGGGAUUAGCUAGUGGGAGGGGUAAUGGCUCACCAAGGCGACGAUCCGUAGCUGGUCUGAGAGGAUGAUCAGCCACACUGGAACUGGGACACGGUCCAGCCUCCUACGGAAGUCAGCAGUGGGGAAUAUUGCACAAUGGGGUAAACCCUGAUGCAGCCAUGCCGCGUGUGAGAAGAAGGCCUUCGGGUUGUAAAGCACUUUCAGCGGGGAGGCGUUACUCGCAGAAGAAGCACCGGCUAACUCCGUGCCAGCAGCCGCGGUAAUAC
rnacentral:rRNA from 1 species